rnacentral:lncRNA from 1 species
CCAUCUAAUUGUGUGUAUCGUUUGUGUGUGUGUGUGUGUGUGUGGUGCUGUGGGAUCAGCCUUUCUCUUGCUUCUUCUUCUUCUUCUCCAUUUUGCUUGGCCCUAUCCUCUCCUCUUGGCAACACUCACAGCGGGGGAGUGUGCGGCCAUGCGCGCCACGUCACCACAGACGGACUUCAAAUACCUCAGACUCCCAGAUUCUUACCAAACAAGCUCCACAAUCAUGAAGGACUGUCAAGUCCAACCUCUUCAGAGGCCCCUUGUGACGGUUUGGAUGCCGAGCCUAGUCACCACCCACUGACGCCCCGGUCCUGCUUCCCAGACCUACAAUGUUCCAUCGCUGUUGAAUCUGCCCCAAACUGUUCUGUACCGACAGUAACUAUAUCUGCUGAUAGCUCUUCUGCCUCCUCUUCAAGAACUUUUCAAAGCACUGAUCCUGCUGAGCUUGGUCUCAUUCGAAGCCAGCUUAAAAUCAAUGAGCCAGCAAGUCCACCAGUUUCUGCUAGCUUUUACUGUAAGCUAGAGAAAGGUAUACAAAAAAUUCCUUUGAGAAGAAGCAAUUUUUCAACCUUACAGCCACAAACUUAUGUUAAGAGAGCUUCAACAUUCAUCAAGCCCCAGGAAGUACAGCAGGUCAGUAUGUUCAAAGUAGCCCUGGGUAGGUUUGGAGCCCCAGGUCUAUCCAGAACAAGACAUCAACCUUUAACAGCUCCUGGAAUACCUUGCAACAACCCAGCCCGAGAAACUACCAUGCACAGCACUACUGCACCAAUAUUUAACCAACAAAAUCAAGGGUGCAGACAGUCUUUAUUGCUCAGAAAGAUACAGAGCAAUUUGCCCAGAACCAGUGCCCCCCUCCAGCCCAAACAUUCCCGCCUUCCUAAGCCAAAGACACUUUCUUCUCUCACAAACCCUGCUACUCAACAAGGUCAAACAACAACCUCCCCCUCUCUGCCUUCUCGUAUGCUUCCACAAUUCUAGAUUAGUUAAGCAGGGCUUGGGGGCAUCCCACCAGAGUGUAGAAAAGCUGCUCCUUAAGGCCCUGCUUGUAAGGCACCAGUCAAGUAUUUUGCCAGUUAUGCUUACCAUGUACAAAACAAAACACAACAUAAUGCACUUAAGUUGUAAGAGACACUAUUGUCUACCUUGUACCUAUGCAUCUUGCAUAAGAUAUUACUCCUUUGAUAGUUAGCAAGGCACCACUUCUCUAGGAUAAUGACCAAAACCAAGCAGAGUAUUGUUAUUACUCCCACAUAAUUUUUUUGUAUUGCUCUCAUUGAUCCUGUUGAGAGAGACUUGCAUUUUCCUUUCUUAACUACUACCACAUUAUGUGCACCACAUAGGCCAUUAUAAAGGGUGCCCACUGAGAUUUUCAGAGGAGUCAUCUCUUCCAAUUGCUUCUCUACCCAUCUCUCUUUGUACCUUUGUUCUUUGCCAAUAGCAUGACAGUUGUGACCUGUUUGAAUUGGCCUCCCAACACCAUACCUAAUAAAAGCAAGUUCUGGAAGCCAAGUCAGUCUUAACACCAGAAAGUUGUAAGACUGUGAACAUACUGUAAAAUGAAAAAAAAACAAAAAAAACCUGGCUGUGAGGAACAUUGGCCUAUACAGUGAGGAAGUUUAAAGUGAUUGACAUGGUUACUUUACAAUAAGAGUGAUUUCACUAAGUAGGAUGUUUUUUUAUUGUUGGUUCUGGACAACAUUCUUUAGAUUUAAGUGUUAGGAAGAGAGACCUAUAAGGGACAGGGACAUCGUUAGGACUAGCAUUGUUUGAAAGGAAUGAAUACACUACCGUUCAAAAGUUUGGAAUCAGAACGAUUUUUAAUGUUUUUUAAAGGAGUUUCUUAUGCUCAUCAAGGCUGCAUAUAUUUGGUACAGGAAUACAGGAAAAAAUGCAAUAUUGUGAAAUAUUAUUAUGAUGUAAAAUAAAAAUCUAUUUUAAUAUACAUUAAAAUCUAAUAUAUUCCUGUGAUGCAAAGCUGAAUUUUCAGCAUCAUUAAUCCAGUCUUCAGUGUCGCAUGAUCCUUCAGAAAUUAUUCUAAUAUGCUGAUUUAUUAUCAGUGCUGGAAACUGUUGUGUUGCUUAAAGGGUUAGUUCAGCCAAAAUUAAAUUAUGUCAUUAAUGACUCACCCUCAUGUCGUUCCAAACCCGUAAGACCUCCGUUCAUCUUCAGAACCUCCAUUGAAAAUGUAUGUACGGUAUACUGUCCAUGUCCAGAAAGGUAAUAAAAACAUCAUCAAAGUAGUCCAUGUGACAUCAGAGGGUUCGUUGGAAUUUAUAGAAGCAUCGAAAAUACAUUUUGGUCCAAAAAUAACAAAAAUUACGACUUUAUUCUGCUUUUUCUUCUCUUCCGGGUCUUUUGUGAGCGCGUUCACAACACUGUAGUCUCUUUGUACCUUUGUUCUUUGCCAAUAGCAUGACAGUUGUGACCUGUUUGAAUUGGCCUCCCAACACCAUACCUAAUAAAAGCAAGUUCUGGAAGCCAAGUCAGUCUUAACACCAGAAAGUUGUAAGACUGUGAACAUACUGUAAAAUGAAAAAAAACAAAAAAAAACCUGGCUGUGAGGAACAUUGGCCUAUACAGUGAGGAAGUUUAAAGUGAUUGACAUGGUUACUUUACAAUAAGAGUGAUUUCACUAAGUAGGAUGUUUUUUUAUUGUUGGUUCUGGACAACAUUCUUUAGAUUUAAGUGUUAGGAAGAGAGACCUAUAAGGGACAGGGACAUCGUUAGGACUAGCAUUGUUUGAAAGGAAUGAAUACACUACCGUUCAAAAGUUUGGAAUCAGAACGAUUUUUAAUGUUUUUUAAAGGAGUUUCUUAUGCUCAUCAAGGCUGCAUAUAUUUGGUACAGGAAUACAGGAAAAAAUGACAAUAUUGUAGUAAAUAUUAUU